rnacentral:snRNA from 1 species
UUCUCUUUGCCUUUGGCUUAGAUCAAGUGUAGUAUCUGUUCUAUUCGGUUUGAUCACCGAUAUGUUCUGCAGUGCAGAACACUAUGAUUAUACAAUCUUUGGACCUCGCGAUUUGGCCUCUGUGCUUGCACACGCCUGUCGCACCGUGUCGCCGGGCUCACACUAUCCCCAGCUGAUGCGAACUUCU